rnacentral:rRNA from 1 species
UAAUACUAUUAAUAUUUU